UACGUACUGUGCGAACGUUAUUCGGAAUCACUGGGCUUAAAGGGUGCGUAGGCGGCCAAUUAAGUAGGGUGUGAAAUCCCUCGGCUCAACCGAGGAAUUGCGCUCUAAACUGGUUGGCUUGAGUGAGAUAGGGGUGUGCGGAACUUCCAGUGGAGCGGUGAAAUGUGUUGAGAUUGGAAGGAACGCCGGUGGCGAAAGCGGCACACUGGGUCUUAACUGACGCUGAGGCCCGAAAGACAGGGGAGCGAACGGG
rnacentral:rRNA from 1 species